UGACUGUACAAAGGUAGCAUAAUAAUUUGUCUUUUAAUUAAAGGCUAGAAUGAACGGUAAAACGAGAUAAAAACUUUCUUAAUUUAAAUAAUUAAAUUUUUCAUUUAAGUUAAAAGACUUAAAUAACUUUAAAGGACGACAAGACCCUAUAGAACUUAAAAUCUUCCUUAAGUAAAAAAAAAGAAGAAUUUUUAUUGGGGAAAUAAAAAAAUAAAAAUUUUUUUUAAAAAAAUCAAUUUAAAGAUUUUAAGAUCCUUAAUAAAGAAGUAAGAAAAAGUUACCUUAGGGAUAACAGAGUUAAAUUCUUUGAGAGACCAAAUCGAAAAGAAAUAUUGCUACCUCGAUGUUGAAUUAAGAUAAAUAAUACUAGAAGAAAAUUAUAUAAUUAGGUCUGUUCGAUCAUUAAAAUCUU
rnacentral:rRNA from 1 species